ensembl:snoRNA
ACUGGCAGAUUGGUAGUGGUGAACCUCUGGUUUUCUGAAG